CACAAUUAUAUUUACACAUUCUGGAACAUAGAUAAUGCGUGUAUAAAAUUGUGAUUAGUGAUAUUUUUGUAAUUAAUAAUGGGUUUGUUAACAGUACUUAAAAAAUUAAAACAAAAGGAAAAAGAAAUGCGCAUUUUAAUGUUAGGUUUGGAUAAUGCUGGCAAAACAACAGUUUUAAAGAGAAUUAAUGGGGAACCAAUUGACACAAUAUCACCAACACUUGGUUUCAAUAUUAAAACUUUAGAACAUCGUGGGUAUAAAUUAAAUAUAUGGGACGUAGGUGGUCAAAAAUCAUUACGUUCUUAUUGGAGAAAUUAUUUUGAAUCUACUGAUGGUCUUGUAUGGGUAAUUGAUAGUGCAGAUAGAAGAAGAUUGGAAGAUUGUAAAAUAGAAUUAUAUAAACUCUUACAAGAGGAGAGAUUAGAAGGUGCAAGUUUAUUAAUACUUGCAAAUAAACAGGAUUUACCUGGAGCAUUGUCUGCAUCUGACAUUGCAGAAAUUUUGGAAUUACCUACUAUUAAGACUCACCAUUGGCAAAUAUACAAAUGUUCAGCAAUCACAGGAGAAAAUCUUGUAGAAGGAAUAAAUUGGAUUAUUGAUGAUAUUUCUGCUAGGAUAUUUUAUAUAGAUUAAUAUCAAAAAAGAAAUUAAAUUUUACAACUUACAUUGCUAAUAUUAUAAUGUUUUAUAAUACAAUAUGUUUAUUUCUUAUAUAUUAGAAAGCAGAGUUAUUAUAUAAUUAUACUUUAUUUAAAUUAUUAAAAUUAAGGUUUUUCUGUUGGAAGUUUUGUAUUCGGAUAUUGUUUCAUAUAAACAGAUUUUAAUAAGCCUUGAUCAACGGUAUUUUUUAUACCAGUAAAUGCAAUCAUUAGUUCAUUUAAUAAAGAUUUAGAUAAGUUUAAUUGGAAA